GGUGUCCAAUUUGUCAAGAAGAAGUUGAAACUGUAAUGCAUAGUGAUGGCGGCGGUUUUCGUCAGCAUAAGUCGUAGCAAAUAUGCUUUAGAAUUCCAUAACUAACACUAAAAGAUCCUCCCUGGUCUUCAGCCUGGUUCAAUAAUUUCUUCAAUUAGAAUUAGGGUUUUGAUUUGGGGCUUCAUUCGGGUUCAAUUCUUUGAGUUUAAGGAGUGGACUGAUCCGGUCAUAAUCAAGACAAAGAUGACACGCUUAUAGACUCAGGUCAUAUGCAGAAGGUGCUGACUAGGCGAUCACUCAAUCAGUCUUUUUUUGAAAGAUGUAAAAGCCUUUGCCAUUAUCAAAGAUACCUCAUAAUUUUUUUUGGAUACUUUUUGAUUCUAUUGCAUUUUGGUACUCUAAUAGAACUUCAGACGGA